rnacentral:rRNA from 1 species
UUCGAUUCUGGCUCAGGAUGAACGCUGGCGGCGUGCUUAACACAUGCAAGUCGAACGCUGAAGCUCCCAGCUUGCUGGGGGUGGAUGAGUGGCGAACGGGUGAGUAUCACGUGAGUAACCUGCCCUUGACUCUGGGAUAAGCCCGGGAAACUGGGUCUAAUACUGGAUAGGACUGGCCAUCGCAUGGUGGUUGGUUGAAAGCUUUUUGCGGUUUUGGAUGGACUCGCGGCCUAUCAGCUUGUUGGUGGGGUAAUGGCCUACCAAGGCUUUGACGGGUAGCCGGCCUGAGAGGGUGACCGGCCACACUGGGACUGAGACACGGCCCAGACUCCUACGGGAGGCAGCAGUGGGGGAUAUUGCACAAUGGGCGCAAGCCUGAUGCAGCGACGCCGCGUGAGGGAUGACGGCCUUCGGGUUGUAAACCUCUUUCAGCUGGGAAGAAGCCUUUCGGGGUGACGGUACCUUCAGAAGAAGCACCGGCUAACUACGUGCCAGCCGCAGC